rnacentral:rRNA from 1 species
AGAGUUUGAUCCUGGCUCAGGAUGAACGCUAGCUACAGGCUUAACACAUGCAAGUCGGAGGGGCAGCAUGAACUUAGCUUGCUAAGUUUGAUGGCGACCGGCGCACGGGUGAGUAACACGUAUCCAACCUGCCGAUGACGUCGGGGAUAGCCUUUCGAAAGAAAGAUUAAUACCCGAUGGCAUAGUUCUUCCGCAUGGUGGAACUAUUAAAGAAUUUCGGUCAUCGAGUGGGGAUGCGUUCCAUUAGGUUGUUGGCGGGGUAACGGCCCACCAAGCCUUCGAUGGAUAGGGGUUCUGAGAGGAAGGUCCCCCACAUUGGAACUGAGACACGGUCCAAACUCCUACGGGAGGCAGCA